CCUAAGUAUACUCCAAGAACACGCACCAGAUACAAUUCAAUCAGAAACUUAGGCAGAAAAGUACUUAAUUCUUUGAUCUCAUGUGGAAUUUAGCAGCAUAAGGUGGCAAGUUUCUGAACGUGACAUAGUACUGCAAACGCACUACAGCACAAUAUCUUUAAAAUGCAAAUUUGAACAGUGAAUUGUAUGCAGUCAAGAAGCAGCUGGAAUACACAAAGCUUUCUGAAAGGACCCUCUGGGUGGCAUUUCUCUAAUGAACAGUGAACUUGCUUUCCUAAGCUGUGUCAGAUUGUUACAAAGAAGACAAAGGAACUGUGCAUGCCUGGAUAUAAACUGACUCAGAUACUUCUCCAAAUAAUUAAGAGAGUUAACUAUUCACAGAUGGGCUCCUCCUUCUGUAACUUGACUCUGGAAUUCCUCCUGUAUGGCUGAAUACUCUGCUGAUAUUUUGUUUUCUUAAACUGAAGUUUCCAACCAGCUUUGUCUCUGCAAGAGGAGGGCUUUACGAUCACAGCAAUUAAUAUCUACAUAAAGCUUUAUAUCAUCAAAGUCAAUAAAAUACCUAAAAUGUCAAAAAAUGUUACUAUAUUAGUAUUUCAGGUUGAAGGUGCAAGAAAAGGUGUUCCAUAAUUUUGUUAGAACUUUCAGCCAAGCAGAUGGAUCAAAUUGUAAAGAAUAAAGGACUCCUUCUUACAAUGACUUUUUUCUUUUUAUUAGGAUGACCAGCUCUGUAGAGUUCUGUUGUCCAGGAAUUCAGUUUAUUAAACCUGUUAAGCCAAUAUUUUGUCCCCAGGUCAGCCUAGAUGUAAUUAGCAUCCUAGAAAAUCUGAUCUCUGAAGUGUAUAACAGAUAAAAACAUAUAUAUAUAUCUGAAGAUAAACAUACAUUUUGUAUUUUCCACAUUUUGUCCUGAUCUUUUGCAGCACUUAAUGUUCACACUUAAAAUAGAGAACACUUCAGUGAAAAGACAUGGUUCCAACUGUGACAAAGUGCUAGUGAAUAAAGUUGAUUAAACCAGUGC